AUAACUAUUAGGCCAAAUCAUCUUUUUUACCUACCCUGCCUCCACAGUGGAUUGCAAUAAUAUACUCAGGGGGAAAAAAGGCCAGAAUCAUGAAGCUGAGAUCAGAAAGAGAACUUCCUCAGAAUUCAGGUUGAGUUGGAUCCAUUGUUUCAGUCAGAUUCAUCCCUAAAUUUUGAAAAUAUCUAUUUUUUCCCUUCAGGUACUAAAUGCUUAGAUGUGUCAUUUCUUUCCCCAGAGCAUGUAGAGGAAGGGGGAAAAAAUAGAGACCAUGAAAAGAACAUUAUUACUUUCCAUCUGCUGAAGAACUGCGAAAGUUGAGAUGAUUUGCACAAUAGAUGAGCCAGACAAAAAAUCUGAUGAAAAUCUACCCCAGCUACCAAGGAUGAACUUCCUUUCCUUUCUUAUUAUUGUCACUAGCAUAUUAGCUACAAUCAUACCUUCUGUCAAUCUUGCAUUAAGCAGCAGGUACAAUAAAAAUGUGAAACAAAAAA